GCCACUCAGUGGAGAGUGAAGAAACCCCACUUAAGCUUGUUUGAGGAAGAGGAAAAUCUGUUGCUUCAGGCAUCUGAAAAGUCCAGGGGAUAUGAGUAUCAGGUAUAGUUUGGUCUAGGCACUCAAAUAAUAACAUUAAACUCACUUCCCAUCCCUCUUCUUCUCUUUCAGCAUUUCAGCUCUUCUUUUCUCCUGAUUGCCUUCAUUCUCAGGGAAAGAUUAUCCACAUGGCAGCUUCUGGCACUAAUGCCUGUCUGAGACCAUCCUGUUACUCCCAGUAAAGCUAGGAGUGGCUAUUCUCAGAACACUGGUGUACUCCUGGAAUAAUUGCCUUUCUGGAAAUCACAUUGUAGCUUAUUCAGAAGCACUUUUAAUAGAGAUAUUUGGAAUGACCCUGGGCGGAAGUUUAUCAGAACCUGGAGCAUAGCAGCAAUACCUGGAGAUUCUAUCGAAAACAGCAAGGCCAGCACAGUGGGGAUGGUUGAGAGAAGCCCUCCUUUCUCCACUGAGGAACUUUGUGCCAAGUCACCUGCACGUCUACCCUACCUACCCCUGACCUGAACUCAGCAGGACAGCACAAAGAAAGCAUGAAGAACUUUGCUGCACUGCUUUUGGAAAAUAUGCUAACCCCUAGCAUAACCAAUCCAUCUUAAGAAUGAAACAGCAGCGAUUGAUGGAAAAGAGUUGUACAAUUCCGGGGCGCUCAAAGUGAUGGAAGAAGCUAUUGAGGAUGAUGUAAGUGUCAGGUUAGUUUUUCUAGGACUUAGACUCUGAGAGGGAGAUGUACAUGCAGGAGGUUUACUAGGGAGACUUUAGAGUCCUUACCUGUUGGGGAUAAAGGCAGAGUUGAACUGAAAUACCGGGCCUCAGCCUAUCCCACAGGGAUAGCUCUGGAGCUGGAGUGGCCCAAGGGAAGGCCUUCCUUGACUAGUCACUGGAUGCAGGCUGUCCCUGAGGAGGGUGAGACCUUGGGUGGGGAGCAUCUCUCCAGCUGAGUGCAAUGCCUGGCCACUCAGCAGCGAGUCAUGACCCACCAACCUUCCUAACAUCUGGGGGCAUGAGUGUUUCCACUCUGAAGUGGGGAGCUGGGACUCUGAAGUGGGGAGCUGGGACUCUGAAGUGGGGAACUGGGACUACAGCAUCCACAACAGCACAUCAGAUGGAUUAUCAAGGUGUUGAACUUGGCAGCUUUGUACGGAAACUAUAAAUCUUGUUUUAAGAAUAAAAUACCCUACUGGCAAAUCCAAAGAUUGUUUGGGGAACAGUAAUGAUUUUCCUAAUGAUAGCAACUAGUCAAGGAGGCCCCAUAGUCCUGUCCAACCCUAAAAGUUUUCUAACUCAAUUAUUGGUUGAGAAUGGAAAAUAACACAAAAGCACCAAGGAGGUAUUGUGGAUGAAUUUUUUAGCACAAAGUGUUUCAUCCAUUUCUGCCUAUUUUGGAUUUCCUAUUUCCAACCUGUACCAAAUGUGCUUGCGUACACAUACACACGACUAACCUUAAAUAUGGCUUCCUUUUAGAGACAUAAAAAGCUCAUGAAUCAACUCCAAAAACAUUUGCCCAGACUUUCUUUGAAAGGUGCAGAUGAAUGAGCUUGACAGAAAACUUUUUGCUUGAAAUUUUCCCUUUCUCAGAUUGCAUAAAUUUAAGGGGAAAGGCUGCCAAAUGUUCAAUGACGCUCAGCGUGGUGGCUUCUGGCAGGGACACUCUGUACCAGCAGCUAAAUGAAUGUUUCCCUGAAUCACUGACUGACUUAUCAUCCUUUAUCACCUGCUCUGUUCCCCUUUUUCUGCAUUGAGGCUUUCUAAAUGACGUGGGGAGGGGAAGUAAAAAAAAACUUUAGAACCACAAGACACUGCAUAUUGAUGUUGGAUAUUGAGAAUUCUUCUGGUGUUAAUAGAUAGGAUUGCAGUGAGGAGCACGAGGCUAUCAAAAGCUAUCUUCAAGCCUAAUGUGGGCAAGACCCGUCAAGCCCCAGUGCUACAGAGGAUCUGGACAUUUUGGGCUGUAGCUUUGUAUUAGGAAACUUCUUGUUUGUGUUAGGAUUUACCAAUGAAUUGGGUCAUAUAAUUCCCUUUUUGAAACCCUUAAAAUGAACUCAAACCCCCUAGCCUGGCCUAUUAAUAAUAGGUUCUACUGAGCCUGCCUUCCUCCGCCACCUGCCUUCCAACCUCAUCCUAAACUGUGCUCACCCUCACUCCCUGUGCCUCAGCCAUACCAACAAAAUCCUUCAGGCUCCUCCAACACGACAAGACAAGGCCUUUCCAGAGUCACAGCCUUCAGCCCUGCUGCCUGGAAUGCUUUUCUCGCAGCAUUUCCAUGGCCAGUGCCUCCAGGUCGGCUUAAAUGUUACCUCUUUAGAGAGGCCUUCCCUGACUAUGAUCCUCCACUUUUAUUCUCUAUUCUCAUAGAGUACUUUUGGUUUUCUUCACUGUACUUACCUAUGAGAAUUUGUGGCCAUUAUUUGCUUGUUUAUUUCUUAUCUCUUUUCCAUGCUAGACUCCACUCCCUGAAAUGGCAGGGACAAAAGCUACCUUGUUCACCACUGAAAACCCAGUGUCAGGCACACAGUUUGUUACUUGAAUGAACAGUGUUUCACCCAGAGCCUAAGUCCUGUGCUCUCUCAUUUAAAAAGGAACACUUAUUUAUAGAUUUUUAAAUGAAGGCUUUGAAAAUAUGGAAAUAUCUCACAGACAUGAGAUGGGAGACGUACGUUUUUAGUAUGAGGACAUUCUAAACCCCCAUCACAACUAAUGGCUCCUUCUUCUCUGUCCUCAGGGAGAACAGCUUUUGUUUUAGUUGAGGUAUAACUUACUGUAGUAUAUGGCACACAUUUUAACUGAAUUUUACAUGGGUAUACAUCCAUAUGGAGAUCAGGAUCGAGAUGUAGAAUAUUGAUGGCACAUUGGAAGGCUUCCACAUGAGAGGGUUCCUCUCAGGCAGUACCAUUCAAAAGGUAGCCACUGUACUGUGACAGGUCCCCCAACAGGUUACCGAAGGGUAUAAGUCUGUUGCCUGAACUCUGAGGGCCGGACAGUGAGCCAAGACCCUGGUGCCGAGCUGAGGAGCAGGUGUCCCUGAGAAGCCAAACCUCCCAGAGAGUUUCUGAGGAACUACCAAGAAAAACAGUCUCAUUGUUCAAACACGUAGGCAAAGAGCCAGGAAAUUAGCUUAAAAGCAGUUUAUGGAUGGGAGGUGGGGCAGAUCUCCAGAGCUAUCCUGCCGCCAUCCCAGAGUGCCCCGUAUAAUGCUCAUGCUUGGAACCCUAUGUCCAAGUUGUAAGGAAGCCCAAGCAGCCCAUAAAGAGGCCCACGUUAAGAAGAACCAGGACCCACAGUCUAAGUGAACUCUCAGCUAAUAGCACCAUUUUGCCAACCAUGAGUCAAACUGGCAGCUUCAAGGACCUUGGCUGAAAUUGGUCCAUUUGGAUAUGUGUGCUUGUUUCUGCAAUGUCCUGAAUGACUGUGGGAAAGGGCUUCACAAGGCUUCAUGUGAGUAGACUUAAUUUACUUUAUACACUGUGCAGUGUUUAAGCAUAUCACACAUGUGGCUCUCUGAAGGGGGAGGGUCUAAGAUCAGGAUCCUGGAUGUGAACCAGACGUUUAAUGAAAUCAUAUUUCACUAACAUCUCUCUUAUUAUUAUAUUGCUUCUUUCAUCAGCACAUGUUAGUUAGACAUACCUACUGCUUCUUGAAGGUAAAACUUAUGGCCAUUUUAAAGGGCCUGAGAAGCUGAGUGAUGUGAUGGUGAUUACAAGGAAACCUCCAGUGAGCUUGCUCUUGAAAGUUCUAUAAUUUAACUUUCAGGACAUACAUGCAACAGCUGGCAAUCUUCUUGCAAGAAGUGCUUAUUAAUCAGAUCAGCAUCAUCUUAAUCUAGGUACCUGGUAAGACGACCAGCUUUUCUUGGUUUGCCUGGGAAUUUUCUGAUUUUAGCAGUGAAGGUCCUAUGGCCAAGGGACU
rnacentral:lncRNA from 1 species